UGGUAGGAGGUGCUGCAGAGAGACCCCUACCUGGCUCUCAUCCUCUCUCAGUGGCAAGUCCAUCUAGUUCAGACUCAGACAGGUGGAAGAAGUCAGCUCCUAGCUAGGGUAUAAUGAAGCAUGAUGGAAGUAUUUGACCCAGUGGCUCUUCUAUACCCAGGAGGCCCUGACUGCCACAUUCACCAGUUGAUUUUCCAGACAAAUGGAAUCUGAGCUACUAUGUUGGAGGAAAGCAAUGAAGACUGAAGGGCAGAAGGAGGGUAUUGGCUGGAGCUGAAAUCCUGACAGGAAAGAGGCACACCCAUGAAGAAUUUAGCAAAACGGAG